CACAGUAGUUGCGAAUGAACAGCAAAUUGCUCAAAUUGAAUUUGGGGACACCUGGCCCUCAACAUGAAAUCUCUGAAUGCUCCACCAACAAAGGCUCAGGAACAAAACCAUUCUGGAGGGGAUUGUGAAAGUGCCAACAGGGGUGAGAAUCCUGUGGUUCUUGCAGACCUUGUUCACGGUGUCUGCUUUCCAGAGUCAUGCUCCUUGGAACUGGAGUGCAAAGUGGGUGGUA
rnacentral:rRNA from 1 species